AGUGAACGCUGGCGGUAGGCCUAACACAUGCAAGUCGAACGGCAGCACAGUAAGAGCUUGCUCUUACGGGUGGCGAGUGGCGGACGGGUGAGGAAUACAUCGGAAUCUACUUUUUCGUGGGGGAUAACGUAGGGAAACUUACGCUAAUACCGCAUACGACCUACGGGUGAAAGCAUGGGAUCUUCGGACCUUGCGCGAUUGAAUGAGCCGCUGUCGGAUUAGCUAGUUGGCGGGGUAAAGGCCCACCAAGGCGACGAUCCGUAGCUGGUCUGAGAGGAUGAUCAGCCACACUGGAACUGAGACACGGUCCAGACUCCUACGGGAGGCAGCAGUGGGGAAUAUUGGACAAUGGGCGCAAGCCUGAUCCAGCCAUACCGCGUGGGUGAAGAAGGCCUUCGGGUUGUAAAGCCCUUUUGUUGGGAAAGAAAAGCAGCAGGUUAAUACCCCGCUGUUCUGACGGUACCCAAAGAAUAAGCACCGGCUAACUUCGUG
rnacentral:rRNA from 1 species